rnacentral:rRNA from 1 species
AGGACGAACGCUGGCGGCGUGCCUAACACAUGCAAGUCGAACGCGCUCCAUUCGGUAGCAAUACUGAUGAAGAGCGAGUGGCGAACGGGUGAGUAGCACGUGAGCAACCUGCCCCGAAGACUGGGACAACACCGGGAAACCGGUGCUAAUACCGGAUAUCCCUAUCGGACCGCAUGAUCUGAUAAGGAAAUGGAUUCCGGCUAGGGAUGGGCUCGCGGCCUAUCAGCUUGUUGGUGGGGUAACGGCCUACCAAGGCGACGACGGGUA